AGAGUUUGAUCCUGGCUCAGGAUGAACGCUAGCGGCAGGCCUAAUACAUGCAAGUCGAGGGGUAGUGGUUGCUUGCAACCAUGAGACCGGCGCACGGGUGCGUAACGCGUAUGCAACCUACCUCUAUCUGGGGGAUAGCCCGGAGAAAUCCGGAUUAACACCGCAUAAAAUCACAGUACGGCAUCGUACAAUGAUCAAAUAUUUAUAGGAUGGAGAUGGGCAUGCGUGUCAUUAGUUAGUUGGCGGGGUAACGGCCCACCAAGACCGCGAUGACUAGGGGAUCUGAGAGGAUGACCCCCCACACUGGUACUGAGACACGGACCAGACUCCUACGGGAGGCAGCAGUAAGGAAUAUUGGUCAAUGGGGGCAACCCUGAACCAGCCAUGCCGCGUGCAGGAAGACGGCCCUCUGGGUUGUAAACUGCUUUUAUUCGGGAAUAAACCUGCUUACGUGUAGGCAGCUGAAUGUACCGAAGGAAUAAGGAUCGGCUAACUCCGUGCCAGCAGCCGCGGUAAUACGGAGGAUCCAAGCGUUAUCCGGAUUUAUUGGGUUUAAAGGGUGCGUAGGCGGCCUGUUAAGUCAGGGGUGAAAGACGGUAGCUCAACUAUCGCAGUGCCCUUGAUACUGAUGGGCUUGAAUGGACUAGAGGUAGGCGGAAUGUGACAAGUAGCGGUGAAAUGCAUAGAUAUGUCACAGAACACCGAUUGCGAAGGCAGCUUACUAUGGUCUUAUUGACGCUGAGGCACGAAAGCGUGGGGAUCAAACAGGAUUAGAUACCCUGGUAGUCCACGCCCUAAACGAUGAAUACUCGCUGUUGGCGAUACACAGUCAGCGGCUAAGCGAAAGCGUUAAGUAUUCCACCUGGGGAGUACGCCCGCAAGGGUGAAACUCAAAGGAAUUGACGGGGGCCCGCACAAGCGGAGGAGCAUGUGGUUUAAUUCGAUGAUACGCGAGGAACCUUACCCGGGCUUGAAAGUU
rnacentral:rRNA from 1 species